CUCUGUUCCUUUCCCAUGGACUACGUGUACCUCGAUGACUCUCCGGUAGCAAGAUUCGCGCGAGCGCGUAGUAUACUGCGCCAGUCAAUACCUCCACCUGCUCUUGGUUCACCUAGCUGGUGUUGCCAGUGUUGACGAGAAAAAAGGGCGCGGGGAAUUCGGCAGGAGGGCACUAAGAAGGAAUCCAGUCUCGCAUCAAAUACUCGCUCAGAAAGCAAACUAACCUGGCAAGAUUUUUUUUUCGUACCAUUCUUUUUUAUGUACUCUUUUCGAACUCGCAUCAAAUUAGUUUUUUGACAGAUGAUUUUAAGCUCGUCACAAAUCGACGCUUCAUCUCGUUUUAUUACAAUCAAUGAUGUUGCAAUGUGUUUCUAUGGAAAGAAAAAAAUUGUUAAAUUUAUUAAAUAUAAUCAUAAUCAUUAAAAAAUAUUAUAAUAAGAAACUAAAAAAUUUUAUUGUUAUUAGAAAUUGUUACUAGAAAUAUAGACAUAAUAAGAAGAAUCUAAAGUAUUAUAUAAAAUAACGUAAAGUUGACUAAUGGUAUUAAAAUAGCUAUUAUAAAUAAUUUAAAAAAAAAUUUGGAUUAACGAUUAUUAACAAUUAUAUAAAAGAAUAUUCAUUGAACAUAAAGUAUUACGUAACUUUUAUGCAAACUUAUGGAAAAAAUGAGAAUAAAUUGAAAUAGUAGAAAUACAAAAUCGAAUAAUUAAUUAAAUUAUAUCAAAUAGAAAACGAUCAUAAACAUGAUCGAGAGAAUAUUCAUAAACAUCUUCAAGCAUUUAAAAAAAAAUCUUACAACAAAUUUCCUUCAAAAAACAACAUAAGUUCAACCAUAAAAUUAAAUCGUUACUGUUAUCAAGCUUUUAAGGAAAAUUAAUCACGGUAUGAUUCUCAAAUAAUAGCACAAUAGUAUGUAUCUAUGUAUAAUAUACUUUUAGAACUUACGUUCAAGAUUUUAGUACCAUAGGAUAUAAGUGGCAGGUAUUUUCUACCAUUCCUUUAAGUUUCAUCCUUUCUUUGAAGGUACUUAAAGACAUAAAAGCAGACCUGUAUUUCGAGUGGAAAGUUGUCGUGGCAAUUUGUCUUACUAUUUUCUUACUGCACAACCUGCACUAUAUCUUAACCCCCACCUUUUCCUCACCGAGCUAUUUUCCUCGAGUAGAGACAUUUCCCAUGGGAGUAGAAACUAGAAAGACAACGUCACGUAGAUAUCUUCUUUACAAAAUAGAUCACAUCACCGAGAAAGCAAAAGGGAAAAUAUUAUUAAAUCAAUGCAAUCACUACUUCAUAUUUAUUAAUAUUUGUUAUUAUAUUGUUUCUUUUGCUUUGUAACUUUCUUAUAACAAUAUUAUUUAUUAAUUCCAACUUGAUAAAACAAAAUCGCAAAAUUAAAAUAUGAUACAUGUAUAUAUAUUGACCAUUUGUUUUAUGAGAUAUUAAUGAGAUUCACUAUUUUUCUAUCAAAAGUUUAAAUAAUCAUAAUUUUUUGAUUUAUUACAAAAAUGUUAUUAAAAUAUAUUAAUAAUUUAAAUUUAAUUAUUAACUAAUUAGUUAUUUUUUAAUUUUUUUAAAUAUUUUAAAGUAAUGUAAAUUUUCAAUAUAAUUUUCUUUACAUAUUUAUUUUUAUAAUUUUAUAAUUAUAUUUUUAAUAAUAUCUUAUAUUAUUUUUUAAAUAUAAAAUUAUCAAAAAUGAAUAAUAAAAAUACAGGAUUUAAAAUUUUUAAUGAAAUUACAAACUAAUUUAUUGUAUUACAUUAUAUUUGUAAUGUAAGGAAAAUAAAAAUAAAUCUAUUAGUCUAGAAUAUCUAUUCUUGGAUACUGAUGGAAAGCUGCAUCACAACCUUAUAAGAGUAUAUGUAAUUUCUAUUAUAUACUAUUAUUUAUAUUCAUAUACAUACAGUACAGUAACAAGAAAAUUUGAUAUAUAAUUAAAAAAUACUUAGAAAACUUUGUACAUUCUUUCCAAUUCGACAGUUAUAAAUAUAUUAAAAUAAAUAAUAAUAAGAUACAUAAAAUUUAGUUUUAAUAAUUGAAUAAGUAUUGCUUGUUUCAGUACUGAAAGCACAUGCUAUAUCAUUUAAAUACAAUCUACAAUUAUUGAAUGUAUUAAAACUUAUGCAGCAGUAUUCCAUUAUGUGUCCUAAAAACAAGCAAGUGUGUGCAAACAUCAAAGGAUGCAUUGAUAUGAGAAUAUCCCUUUAUUCUCAUUUAAGAUGCACAUAAUGCCAUUUAUUAACUGAAAUCAAAUAUAAAAAUUUAAAUAAUAAUUAAUAUUAAAAUUUUUAAAUAAUUAUUUAAUGUCAUACAAAAAAUAUAUACAAUAAAUAAUAAUAUAGAUAGAAUUAAUUAAUAAUAUUUCUGGUAUCUUGAAUUAUAUAUUUAUAAUUUAUGUUGCAAUAGUUGAAUGAAGUAAAAUUUAUUAACUGCAAGUAAGUAUUAUUAAUGCUAUAUUUAAAUUUAAUUAAUGUAAAUAUAAAUAAAUGAAUAUUUCUAACUUACCAAUAGGAUCUACUGAUUGAGGUUCUGAUAAUUCUGCAGCUUUUUCCAAUACUUCUUCAGCAGUUUCUAUAGUAGUUUUAAAUGGACUGCCAGAUAUAGUUGUGUUAGUACUGUAAAUAAAAUUUGUAUUUGUAAUUUAAUUUUAAAUAUAUUUUUUAAAUGAAA